GCAGGUUGGAGUGAAGGAACCACUGGACCCCCGGCUGGUUGAUCCACAGAUAGCUCCUUCCUCCCCGCCCCUUCCUUUUUGUUUGCAGGUCCCAGAAUCUGUGUUCACAGACAUCUGGGGGAAGAAAAGGAGCAGGAAACUACCCCGCACAGAGUUAAGCAGGAAACAACAACAACAUCAUGCAAAAACCCUGCAAAGAAAACGAAGGAAAGCCAAAGUGCAGCGUGCCAAAGAGGGAGGAAAAACGCCCGUAUGGAGAAUUUGAACGCCAGCAAACAGAAGGGAAUUUUAGACAGAGGCUGCUUCAGUCUCUCGAAGAAUUUAAAGAGGACAUAGACUAUAGGCAUUUUAAAGAUGAAGAAAUGACAAGGGAGGGAGAUGAGAUGGAAAGGUGUUUGGAAGAGAUAAGGGGUCUGAGAAAGAAAUUUAGGGCUCUGCAUUCUAACCAUAGGCAUUCUCGGGACCGUCCUUAUCCCAUUUAAUUAAUUUCUCUGACAAUUCAAUUAUUUUCUGUUAUUAAUGUUGCCACUGCUUUCUGUUUGUCUGCACUUUCUUGAUAAAUAUUUGCUAUCGUUUUACUCCAGUCAUUCGAUGUUGCUGAGAUUUACAUAUGACUCUUGUCAACAUCUCAUCUUUUGACCCAAUCUUAUUCAUUUAAUAAGAGGUCUCAUUCAUUUGCAUGGAAAAAUGCUCAUUGUAUAUUGCAAAGUGAAAAUAACGAGUUGCAAAACAGUGUAUACAUAUAUGUGUGUAUAUAUGUACACUUUAUUUGUACAUUUCUAUGUGACAUAAUGCAAAGGAAAGUGUCUGCCUUUAUUAUACACCAAAGGUUAACAGUGAAUCUCUGUGUGAUCUCUUUUUUUUUCUUUUUGCCUAUCUGCAUCUUCUCACUUGCCAAAAAAUGAAUAUAUGUUUAUGUGUGUAUAUUACUUGUCUCACAAAAAACCCUAAAGUAGACAGUAAAAGAACUUGUCAAUCGCCUUUGGAAGGCAAUGAAACACUUAAUAAACUCUCAAUAACAGAAGCGUAAAAAUGAAAUGUAA
rnacentral:lncRNA from 1 species